UACGUAGGGUGCGAGCGUUAAUCGGAAUUACUGGGCGUAAAGCGUGCGCAGGCGGUUCGUCAAGUCUUGUGUGAAAGCCCCGGGCUCAACCUGGGAAUGGCAUGGGAAACUGGCGAGCUGGAGUGCGGCAGAGGGGGGUGGAAUUCCGCGUGUAGCAGUGAAAUGCGUAGAGAUGCGGAGGAAGGGCGAUGGCGAAGGCAGCCCCCUGGGUCGACACUGACGGUCAGGCACGAAAGCGUGGGGAGCAAACAGG
rnacentral:rRNA from 1 species